GCCGGAGUGGCGGAACUGGCAGACGCAGCGGAUUCAAAAUCCGCCGCCCGCAAGGGCUUGGGGGUUCGAUUCCCCCCUCCGGCA
rnacentral:tRNA from 5 species